rnacentral:rRNA from 1 species
AUGGCCUACCGGCCGUACCCGCCGCCUCAGGGGCCCUUCCCGCCGCAGGCCCCGCCCGUCAACCCGUACGGGCAGCCGCCGCCGCCGCAGCAGCAGCAGGCGGGGUACGGCCACACGCCGCCGCCACCGCCGUUCCACGCGCCGCAGCAGCAGCAGGCGGGGUACGGCCACACGCCGCCGCCACCGCCGUUCCACGCGCCGCCGCCGCCGCCCCCUCCCGGACCGCCCCCUCCGCACCAGCCUCAGUACUUCGGGCACGCGCCCCAGCAGCAGCAGCAGCAGCAGCGGCCGCCGCCGCCCCAGAUGUAUUACCAGCCCCCGCCGCCGCCCUACGGCGGGAACAGCAAUCAAGCGCCCCCUCCACCGCCACCACCAGUGUCUGCUCCCCCUUCGGCGCCGCCGCCGCCUCCGGCCCAGCCACAGCCGCCCCCACGGGAGGCUCCGCCGCCGCCGCCAAAGGAGCGGCAGGCCAAGGCGGCGCUGCCGAGGGUGGAGUCGGAGGAGGAGCGGCGGGCGAGGAAGAAGCGCGAGUACGAGAAGCAGAAGCUGGAGGACCGGAAGCAGCAGCAGAUGAUGCGCCAGUCGCAGGCCACCAUUCUGCAGAAGACACAGAAGGUGCGUGCCGCUGCUCAGCAGCAGCAGCCGCAGCCACAGCAGCAGAGCCGCCACCUCCAGCCAUCAGGUGGGGCUCGGCCGGCGACGACAGCGUCUCGCCCAACCGCCGCGGCCAACACCGAGAGGUUCGAGAAUCGGCUCAAGAAGCCGACAACGUUCCUCUGCAAGCACAAGUUUAGGAAUGAACUGCCAGACCCAAGUGCGCAGUUGAAAUGGCUGCCUCUUAAUAAGGACAAGGACCGAUAUACCAAAUACAGGAUCACGUCAUUGGAGAAAAACUAUAUGCCUAAAAUGAUUGUCCCUGAGGAUCUCGGGAUACCUCUUGACCUACUUGAUAUGAGUGUAUACAACCCUCCCUCUGUUCAUCGGCCCCUGGCUCCAGAAGAUCAAGAGCUGCUGCGUGAAGAUGAGGUUCUCACCCCUGUUAAACCAGAAGGUAUAAGGAAAAAGGAGAGGCCAACCGACAAAGGCAUGUCUUGGCUGGUGAAAACACAGUACAUUUCUCCACUUACUACUGAUGCAGCCAAAAUGUCGCUCACUGAAAAGCAAGCAAAAGAAAGGCGAGAAUCAAGGGAGGGUCGUGAUAAUGUCCUUGAAAAUCUUAAUGAUAGACAGAAGCGGAUCAAAGCCAUUGCAGAAUCCUUCAAAGCAGCUAAAUCACGCCCUGUCCACCAGACUAAACGAGGGAUGGAGCCAGAGUUUGUUCUCCCUUUGGUACCCGAUUUUGAUAGGUAUAAUGAUCCAUUUGUUAUGGUGAAUUUUGAUGGAGAUCCUACAGCUGAUUCAGAGCAAUAUACGAAGCUAGAGAGACCUGUACGUGAUGAAUGUGAAUCCCAGGCUCUGAUGAAAAGUUUUCAAGUCAGUGGUUCAGACCCUGCAAAACAAGAGAGAUUUUUGGCAUACAUGGCUCCAGCGCCCCAUGAGCUUGCCAAGGACUUGGAUGAUGAAAAUGAAGACUUCCAGUACUCCUGGAUUCGGGAAUAUCACUGGGAAGUAAGGGGGGAUGACAAGCAAGAUCCAACGACUUACCUUGUCUCAUUUGAUGACGAUGAAGCAAAAUAUUUGCCUCUUCCUACCAAGCUAGUAUUGCAGAAGAAAAAAGCAAAAGAGGGUAGAUCUGGGGAUGAAAUCGAGCAUUUCCCAGUGCCUUCUAGAAUUACUGUGAGCAGGACAUCACAUGAUGAUGAGAUGGAGCAGGGAGAAUCAUCCAGCAUGCAUGGUAAUUUAAAGCGACGAAGAUCUUCUGUUGAUGAUGAUCUUGAUGAGCAUCCGAGGCGUUCUCGUGUAGAAGAUCCAGAGCAGUAUAGUGAAGAUGAUUCUGAAUGA